GUGGUCUAAUGAACUUAAAAUUUUUUUUUUGCCUUUGAGCAAUUCACUAUGCUGUUGAAUAUUAAUCCUCUCAAAAAAAUGUUUGAAGAAAUUUUCUUUUUAUUUAUGAAAUCUGAAAUGAGAAAAAAUUUAACCCCCCCCCCCAUUUUUUUUUUCACAUCCCCCUUUCCCUUUUUCCAAAACUGAUCUCAAUUCAAAUUUCUAAUGGAGUUUGCAACAAUAACU
rnacentral:lncRNA from 1 species